GUAGCAUAAUAAUUUGCCUUAUAAUUUGAGGCUAGAAUGAAUGGUUUGACGAAGGUUAAACUGUCUCUAUCCUAUUUUUUAGAAUUUAAUUUACAUAGUGAAAAAGCUUGUAUUUCUUAAAGGGACGAGAAGACCCUAAUGAGCUUUAACUUUAUUAUUACUUGGUUAUUGAUUGAUGAGGUAUUAUAUAAGUUUUAAUUGGGGUGAUUAAGGAAUAAAAAUAAAUAGUAACUUCCUUAGGGUAUAAAUCGUUGGAUAAAUUAACCAAUAUUAUUGCUUACAAUAGAGUUACCAUAGGGAUAACAGCGUAAUUUAUUUUGAGAGUUCUUAUUGAAAAAUGAGAUUGCGACCUCGAUGUUGGAUUAAAGUAACCUUAAGGUGCAGAAGCUU
rnacentral:rRNA from 1 species